rnacentral:lncRNA from 1 species
GCCCCCACUUCUCCCUAAGGCGAACCAAAGGGUAUCCGCGGGACGCCUGCCCAACUCUCGCCAGGACUCACUACAAUCCAUCAUUCAAAAGCUCGAAAUACUUUAAGUAACUUCAAUACAUAAUUAAAGUACUCCAAAUAUCUCACACUUACAAUUAUGCAGCUUCCAAGCUUAAAUACAACCCAACGGAAAAGGGUACAAUAGCCAUCCGUUAUAAUAUAACUUAAAGUUUUCAAAAGAAAACAAUCUAGUACUACUCACGAGCACCCUUGGUCUCGAACCCUGUAAAAGAAAACCACAACGUGGGAUGAGCUACACAGCCCAGUGAGGUUCCAAAACACUCUAACAGUUCAAAUAAAUCAAGUAAGUUGGGCAUAUCAUAUGCAUGGUUCAAUGUUACACAAUGGCGUGUUAUCAUGAGGUGAUAAUCAUUGUACGAGUAAUUUGAGACAUUUAUCAUGAUACGAGACAUUUAUCAUGAGACAGGUAUCAUGAUAUAAGUACAUUGGUCAGGUAACAGGUAUGGAGCAUAUCACAGGCAUAGUUCAGGAUUUCAUGUUGACAUUUUAGCAUGAAACAAUUAUCAUGAUACAAGGUAAACAUAUACGGUAGGAUACGGUAUUCCAGUGGAACUCUGUCGGUCAUCUGCACCUUAUGACUUCUGAUCCCCACGGUACGGUCUGGCCAUCGCCUUAUCCCUCCAGUGGUAAUACUCGAGUAUACCGAAACGGUGGCCCAGGGUUCCAACCUACCCGACCGAGCCCAGUCCUGGCUCGAGUAGGUCAGUAACCAAGGGCAGAGCCCAAGUUCAGCUUAGAGCUUACAACAUGCACAGGUAACCAAGUAAUUCGACAAAAGGUAAAAUUCAUCAUUUGAGUAGGUCGAGUGAGGUAAAGUACACACUCGCCUAAUAAUGAUGGACAGCUUCAUAUAACAUGUGAUUCAUGAUAAUCAAGUAAUCAGGUGGUCAAGUAACCAAGUAAGUUGGUGAUCACGUAAGCAGAUAACCAAGUAAGCAAGUAACCAAAUAGAUUAGAAAACGGUAAGUAAACACGGUUAACGGUAAACGGUAAACGGUUAACGGUAGUAAUUACGGUUAAUUGGUAGACAUAUGUCAUUUCAAUAGGCCGCCAUUGGCCGUUUUUCACUUUCACCACGUAAGAGUCGAGGAGAUUUACUCCAACCGACUUAUGCUUCCAUAGCAUAAUUAAUCAUUUAAACACAUCAUGUAAAUAUGCUCUCCAAACAUUUCAUAUCUAGUAUUUCAAGUAAUCACAUAAGUAUGCUCUUUAAGCAUUUCAUAUCGAAUAGUUCAAGUAGUCACGUAAAUAUGCUCUUCAAGGGUUUCAUAUCGAAUAGUUCAAAUAUACAUACUUCAGGUGUUUCAUGUCGAGUAAUUCAAGUAUACACUAUUCAAAUAUGCAUGAGUGUGGUAAAUACUUAACAUAUAGCACUUAACACCUAAUGACCAGGGGUUAAGCAUGUCAUAGACUUAUUCCAAUUACGUAUUCCUAUAUGGAACACUCACCUAGUCAAAACAAGCGAGUAGUUCUUAAACAAGCGUCUUAGGUGUCCGCUCCGA